rnacentral:rRNA from 1 species
GGUUGCCAUCAUACCAGCACUAAUGCACCGGAUCCCAUCAGAACUCCGAAGUUAAACGUGCUUGGGCGAGAGUAGUACUAAGAUGGGUGACCUCUUGGGAAGUCCUCGUGUUGCACCCC